rnacentral:misc_RNA from 1 species
GUGAAUCAUCAAAUUUUUGAACGCAAAUUGCACUCUCCGGUUUUCCGGGAGGGUAUGCUUGUUUGAGGGUAAGCCUAAAAAAAAUCGAUUUUGUUGUUGUUUUAUGGUGACUUUCGACGGAGAUGGGUUAUCUUAAAUUCUGGUUUAAGUGACUUAAAAAUUUUUUUUACGAUUCUAAGAAUGUUUCUAUGACUUUUCUUGUACGCUUAUGGUAUUGAAUGUCUUAUUCGACGUGG